GCUUUUGACGUCAGAUGCCGCCUUGUAUAAUUAAUUUACUUUUAUAGUAAUUAUGUAUAUUUUUACAACAACGCAUCUGAUGGUAUUGUUUUGUGUUGUGAAUUAAUUGCUUAAAAUAAACGCGUUAAGUUUUACAAGUUUCCUAAAGAUUAAUGCUACAUUUCAGGUAAAUGACGUUUUAAUAAGAAAGUAUAACAAAAAAACUGAAGAAAUCGAUACGUUGAGGUAUGAAAUUAUCCUGAAGUUUGCAACAUUUCUUAUAUUAGUGUAGAGGGUGUCUGUGCAGUGAGUUUGGUGCAUUUUUGGUUCGUUUUAGAAAUGCUUAAAAAUUGUUCGCAAAAGUGGCGUUUGUAAGCGAUAACUUAAGUUUUGAGCGUUAUUUUCUUCAGAAAAUGCAACAAGUGGACACAGAUCCACCAUCCCUACCGGUUGGUACGGAGGUAAGUGCCAAAUACAAAGGAGCCUUUUGUGAAGCUAAGGUUAGCAAAGUGGUGCGUAAUAUAAAAGUAAAAGUGGCUUAUAAGCAAGGACUAGGAUCGGGAAUUGUGUCAGACGACUUAAUAAAAGUUGCACCUGGGCAACUGCGCGUUGGUGCUACUGUUGAAGUUCGUCAUCCCGAUCGUAAAGAUUUGGUAGAGUGCACAGUUACUAAAAUUCAAGAUUGCUCGCAAUAUACCGUGGUUUUUGAUGAUGGCGAUAUAACGACUUUACGUCGCACAGCUUUAUGUCUGAAAAGUGGCCGUCAUUUCAAUGAGAGUGAAACUUUGGACCAGCUACCACUAACACACCCAGAGCACUUCGGAAAUCCUGUUGUAGGAGGACGUCGGGGACGCAGACGUGGCCAGUUGAACGAUGAUAGUUCCGAUGAAGAAGAUGAAAGUGAUGCGAAAGAAGUUGUCAACGAAAAAGAAGAACACAUAGGAAAUGUUGUGUGCGUGGAAAUGGAAACAAAGAAGAAGGAUAAAGAGAAGUGGUUCCCAGGGCUUAUAUUAGCUCCUACAGCUCAAGCAAAUGUGCGGAUCAGAGUGAAAGAUGAAUAUUUGGUAAGAUCAUUUAAAGAUGGUCGAUAUUAUACGGUUCCGAAGAAAGAGACAACCGAAUUUACUCGUGAAGCGGCAGCUAAACAAGAUGGUCAAGCAGUACAAGCUGCACUUCAAUAUUUAGAUAGUGGAGCACUACCCCCCCAUUGGGAUCGUGAGUCUUUAUUUGGACUAAAUAAUUCAUCAAGUGAAGGUGAUGGUGAAUUGGAAUCCGAUUCGUCAGACGAUGAACCACGGGAAGAAAAAGAUCGUUUUGUGGCUCAAUUGUAUAAAUAUAUGGAUGAUCGUGGAACACCAUUAAAUAAAGUACCAUCAAUUCAAAAUCGGGACGUUGAUUUGUACCGUCUAUUUCGAGCAGUACAGAAAUGUGGUGGUUACAACCGUGUUACCGCUAAAAAUCAAUGGAAAUCCAUAGCGGUACGCUUGGGCUUUACAUCAGUAACAGUUAGUGUAACAAAUCUUGUUAAGCAAGCGUAUAAAAAAUUUCUUCAACCGUAUGGUGAAUUUCAUCGUAAACUGGGAUGCUCAAUGCUAAUGACACCUCGCAAUUCUAAUCGGAGUAAGGGCCGUAGUUUAGUUCGAGCAAACUCUGUUGCUUCUCCAAAGCCAAUUGACAACACAAAAGAUUCCUUGAACAAACCUGCAAAUAAUAAUAUAACUGCGUCAUCGUCUUCAUCAUCGUCUUCUGCCUCUAGUAGCCAAAAUAUUGCAGCAUCGUCAGUUGUUGCAACAACAACUGCCAAUAUAAUCACGGUUGUCACACCUUCUGUAACGGAAGAGUCGGAAAAUACAAGCGAAUCCAGUCUAGACAAUGCCAAGAAUAAGAGAAAAGCUGUAGUGGGAAAAGUUAAAGGUCUUGUUGAAAAAUAUGAAGAAAAAUCGAGAGAUGAUUGCGAUGUGCCGCUUUCAAAAAUGAAGAUGUCGGCAGAGACUCCACGAUGUGAGGACAAGGAUAAGGCACCAUCUCUAAAGGAUGUUUCUGCCGGCCCAACGUUACAUAUUAGGGAUUCUUCACCCCCAGGUACAAGUGCUGGAAGUAAAAAAGAUAAGAGUCAAAAAAAGCAAACCCCUCAAAGUGACGAUAAGCGAAACAAACGAAAAAAAGAUGAUACAAUUGAAAAGGUAGAUACCGGCGAUUUUAUUGUUGAGGUAGGAGACAAACUUAAAGUAUAUUACCAUGAGAAAAAGGUGACUUAUGAAGCAAAAGUUAUUGAAAUAUCUGUACAACGGGGUUCACCGAUGUACCUGGUUCAUUAUACCGGUUGGAACAAUCGUUAUGAUGAGUGGGUACCAAGAGAACGCAUUGCUGAGAACAUAACUAAAGGGUCAAAACAGAAAGGACGUAUGGCAAAUGCAAAUUCGAUGGAGAAACAAAAGGAUAAUCCUUCAAAACCACCUUCAGUUUCCUCAUUGAAUCCGACAGGUCCUCCAAAUUCGAUGGCAAAUAUAUUAGGCAACAUACCAAUAUCAACAAAGUUGUCAGUAUCAUCAAAACGUGGUCGUGGUCGAAGUGACUCGCUCCCGCCUCGUUCCACUACACCCUCUUCAGUAGCAUCUAACUCCAGCCGAACAAAAUCACCUGCCACAUCUGGCCUAAAAAGAAGACCGAUUCGUUCAAUGGUUAAUACUACGCGACGUACAUCUGCAAACGUUUCUGAUGUUUCUUUACAAAGUGAAUCUGAUACGGACUCCGAUGAACCAGUCAGACGACCAACUCGUGGUAGUAAAGAAAUUGAGUACAAGUCAGGAUCUUUAAGUGGUAAAUUAGCAAACAAGAGUAUCAACUCGGAUACAGAUGUUGACGAUGAGGAGGAUGAUACUACGCUUAUUAUUGGAACAAAUAUUAACUCCACUAAGGGUCGUAAUUAUGACCUUAAUCAAAUUCGAUCUGAACUAAGGGAAUUGAAAUCACCUUCGCCACCAUAUUUGGGAAACGACGAAUUGGUGUCAAAAGUGACACAGCCGAUUAAAGUGGAGAGCGUAAUAGAUGUUAAAGAUAUUUGUUCUUCUAAAAGCAAAGCAAUAGUCGAAUCAAAUACUGAAGUGAUCACCAUUAAACAAGAAGUGAAACAAGAUCAAAAAGAUGACACUGUGAAAUCGUCUACGGAUAUGUCUUCAGAGACGGAAUCAUUUUGUGAUGAUGACUCGCAAUCAUCAGGCAAAACGACAACUCUUGAAAACAUGACAAAAAGAUUUCAGCAAAAAAUAAAAGCCGGUAAACAACAAGCUUUAGAAAAACUUUCUUGUGGAAACCCUACAGUGGAACGGGUACCAAAAGUUGUAGAAAAAAUAAUACAGGAUUCACUCGCAGAAAAGCUUCAAGAGAGUCUUAAAACCAAACCGGAUGUAAAAAAAGAGGAAGGAUUAGAGGCAAAUAUUAGCGACGCUGCCUUAUGUAAAUCGGAUAUUGAUAAGAAAGAAGAUAGUAAACCAAAAAUCUUACAAAAUGAAUUACAUCAAAGGAGUACUUCAAAUAUCCAGCCCAGAUUUGAAAGCACCAUUAAUAGUAGCAAGUAUUCCUCCCUUAUUAUAGAAAAGCCGGUAUGCUUUAAUAAGAAGAUAGAAUCUGGUUGUAGUAAAAAGACAGACAUUAGCAGAAAAUUUGUCACAGAUAGUAUAGAAAGCCAAUCAAAAAAAAGUAUAGAACCUGUGGGGAAAGAGAUAAAUAAAAGUGAACCGUCAGCAGCUUGCUCUCCAUCCUCAUCAUCUUCAUCGUCAUCCGCAUCAGCAUCUUCAUCUUCUCACUCAUUACCAGACAUGAGCAAGCUGGAUAUCAGUGGCGGAUCUUCGACUUCUUCAAUACAUCUGAUUCCUAAUAAAGACGUAAAGUUAGCAUCUGUUGCUCCGAAAGCGACCUCACCUGAUAUUUAUGAGUUCAAAGAUCCAGAACCCUUUGAAUUCGAAUUACGAAAGCUACAAACCACCAGCACAAAUAUUUCCUCAUUUACCACGGGUGUAACAAGUGCAUGUAAUGUAUCUGGAAUUACUCGAAAAUCAACUCAAAAAAAUAUAACUUCACAAAUUUCGGUUAACGAAAAGCAACAACCACCUCCAAACCCAAUGACCGUUUUAGUAAAUCGCAAAAAAAAAGGCUCGCCAAUGAAGGAAGCUGUAAUAGAUAAAUCUAAGUUACCUAAAACUGAUGGAAAAUUAAAUAUUAUUUCGGAGGGAAAAAUCAAUAAAAUUGCUUCCAUUAUUCCAGUCGUAACAAAAGGUACAUUAGAUUGUCAAACGAACUUGUUAACACUAAAUCCAUUAUCAUCAAAUCCGAGUCUUUGUAGUAACUCAACUACACAGAAAACAGAAGUGCUGAAUAAUACAUCAUUCGAUACAUUGAGAACAUCACCAAAUUUUAAUGUAAACAUAAACGCCUUAAAUGAGGAGUUAGCGCAAACAGUACAGGAAACAACCAGAGCACUUACUGAUGCUUUUCAAAAACCAAAGCUGUCGUCUUUACAGGAAGUUGCUGGUACCCCUCCAAAAUUAGCGUCGCCGAAGCAAAAUGAUACUGAAAAUUUGAUGACAUCUUCUAAAAACCAAGAAGAAAACGUUUCAAAAUUAAUUAGUCCAUUACCGACUACACCCAUUAAGACAGUUAUUGGCAGUCCAUUUAUAGAGACUCGAAAAGAUCUGAGCAAUGUUUUUGAAUUGAGUACGAGUGAAGGAUUUACAUCAUUAAGCGAAUCGAAGGAUAAUAAGUUUGAAUUUGAAAAUGCUAAGAAAAUGCUUUCUGCAACAUCAGACGCAUUUGAUUUAGAGCCUGCUAAAUAUGAGAAUAGACCGACAUCAAUCGCAGACAAACUUUUAAAAGCUAUAAAUCAAAAAAAAGAGGAAGAUAAAUAUAGAAUUGAUCCUAAAACUGAGAAAGGAGAAGAUGGUGGAUCUUCGAAGGAUGAUGUUGCGAUUGUAAAAAAUACAGCAGAGUUGAUACUUGGAAGUGAUUGUGCUUCAAAUGAACCAUUAAAUAUUAACAUAGAUUUAGCCGGCUCUCCAAUGAGCUUCGGCAGUAAUUUGAGUUUAGAAAAAUUACCCAUCAUAACUGGCUCAAUAAAUAAACCCAUCCCUCUUACAAGCCCUGAACCGAAGUUGGGAAUACUAGAGUCUAUUACAGUAAAAAAUAAUGACUUAACGGAGACGAUACAGAAACUUGAAUGUGCCAUUCAACGGAAAACUCCAGUCAGUGGCCUUUCAGUUACAACUACACCAAACACAUUUUCAGAGGAUUCGAUGGAUAGUACUGAUUCGGAACGUCGCCUUGUUAUAGAAGACGUGGCUGAAGACGCGUGUGAUAUUCUUAAAAGUCCCAACGAUUCACAGCCCAUUGGUGAGACAAAAAUAAGUAUAUUGCCACAUAAAACAGAUGUUGCUGUCAGUAAAAUAGUACCAGAUAACAUUUUGGCACAUAUUAGAGCCGAUCCUCAAAUUCAACAAACUACACAUGCAAGUCGACCACAGUGUCUUAGUGCAUCAGUAUCGUUUCCAACCAUAUCAGCGCCUAUAAUUGUGACUUCAGCAAACAGAAUAUCAACCGUCUUACAUGUUGUGGCUGAUAUGACAAUGGAACAGAAAGGACCACAAUUUGGAAAUCCGGAAGUACAAAAGAAAGACAAGCGAAAGCAAGAAGACAGCCUAUCUUUGGGCAUUGAAAAUAGUGCCGAUAUUGAAACAAGGUCUAAUGAAAACUUCAGUUCAAGAGAUACCUUUAGUGUUAAGUCUUUUGAAACUGCUGCCCCGUUAAGAUCUGCAUCACCUCUUAUUGAUAGUUCAAAGCAACAUACUCAAAGAUCAACAGAUGUUGUACCGAUUUUGGUUCCAGAUAUUCCAGUUUCGGUUGUUGUAGCUUCUGGAGCGGUGCCCUCAGUAAAAGCAGCAGCACAGGCAGCAGCUGAAGCUGCAGCUCAAAGUCCUACUUCAAAAAUCCAACCGAUCACACAUUUGGAUCAUAAAACCAUUGUAUCUAAAACACUCUUACCUUCAAAUUUAAUCGUGUCUUCCGAAGAAGCUUUGACUAUCGAUAAAAAUUCUGAGAGUAAGAUUACGUUUAUUCAAGAUACGGGUGUAUAUAUUGAUGCAUCAAAUGAUUUGAAAAUUACUCCGCCAUCAACAGUAACCUGCCCAUCGAUAACAGGUAUAUCAGCUAAUUCGGGAUUUUAUUUAGAUGUGCGUACAGAGCUCCGACCUGAGGACGGUGUAAAACCUAUUCACGACAUUCAGCACACAAAUACUGAGAUUGAACGUUUUAACAGCAAAAAAGUUGAAGGUACUUUAUGCGCUGAUGAAUUAGCUUCUAAUUUUGGUGUUGAUACCAAUAAUGAGUCUAUAAACCUUCUUUGCGAGGAAACCAUUCCUGGCAGUCCAACACCUGCUUUUGGAGGAAAAGAGGAGCCUUCGGGAACGCAAUUAGCUACAGAAAGUACUUUAUUGUUGGAUAGCAACAUUAAGGUUUUAGGUGUCACGGAGCCAGGUGCUUUGCUUGCUAAUAUGAAUAAUUCCCCAAAUGAUUCAGCAAGCCAUGAUGACAGCAGUGAGGAUGUAAAAAAACAAGUUGAUAUAGAAAACGAAAUAUCCCCUCGAAAACGUCGGCGCCCCAGAAAGCAAUCAGAAAUGAUUAUCACAUCAGACCACCAUACCAAACGGCGGAAACAAAUGACAUAUAUGAAAAAGAUUCCAGUGUAUACAUACAUCUAUAUGUGAGACUAUAUGUAUUAUAGCGGAUAAUUGAAUAUAACGCCAUAAACAAAAAACGUUCAUAUUUAUAGCAGGUUCCGAUAGCGACGAAAACUCUGAUGGUACAUCGCAACGCAUUCUUGAAUCUCGACAUAAUUUCCAACAACAAUUUCAACUACAACAGCCACAGACAUCAGUUGGAAUUCGGUCUUGUCCCUAUAACUUCUUGGUGCAAUUAGAUCCGAGUCUGGGCUCUGACCAAUGCAUAGCAAUUUUAUUAAAACAAAUUCAAGAAUUGCGAAAAACCUAUAAUGCAAUCAAAAUCGACCUUGCGAGUAUUGAUCGAAGACGUAAAAAAUUACGACGACGAGAAAGGGAAAAGAAGCAACAAGUGCAAAAUCAACAAGUUAAAAUUUCUUAAUUAUGCUUUACAUUAAUAAUAAUAAUACAGAAUAUGAAGAGUUCUACAAUUAAAUUUGAAUAUACAUAUGUACUUAUGUAAAUGUAUAUGUAAUGUUUAGUUUUAAAAAUCUAAAUUCUUCAAUUCUAUUAUGCGAAAAAUAAAACAAUGUUUUUCUUUAAAUAUAAA